CAGCAGCCGCGGUAAUACGUAGGGUGCGAGCGUUGUCCGGAUUUACUGGGCGUAAAGGGUGUGUAGGUGGUCAUGUAUGUCGGAUGUGAAAUUCUGGGGCCUAACCCCAGCACUGCAUUCGAAACUGCAUGACUAGAGUACAGGAGAGGUAAGCGGAAUUCUUGGUGUAGCGGUGAAAUGCGUUGAUAUCAAGAAGAACACCGGAUGCGAAGGCGGCUUACUGGAAUGUUACUGACACUCAUACACGAAAGCUAGGGGAGCAAACAGGUUUAGAUACCCUGGUAGUCCAUGCCGUAAACGUUGGGCGCUAGGUGUGGGGAGAUUUCCGACUUCUGUGCCGUAGCUAACGCGUUAAGUGUACCGCCUGUGGAGUACGGCCGCAAGGUUAAACUCAAAGAAAUUGACGGGGGCCCGCACAAGCGGAGGAGUAUGUGGCUUAAUUCGAUGCAACGCGAAGAACCUUACCAGGGCUGGACAUGUAACUGCAAGUCCCGUGAAAGUGGGAUUCCUUCCGAAGCACUGUUACACAGUGCUGCAUGGCUGUCGUCAGUUCGUGCCGUGAGGUGUUGGGUUAAGUCCCGCAACGAACGCAACCCUUGUGUUUAGUUGCCACUACCGGUGAUGAGCCGGUAAGCACUCUAGACAGACUGCCCAUAUCAAGUGGGAGGAAGGUGGGGAUGACGUCAAGUCAGUAUGGCCUUUAUGUCCUGGGCUGCACACGUGCUACAAUGGUCGGUACAGAGGGUCGCAAUGCCGCAAGGUGGAGCUAAUCCCAAAAAACCGAUCCCAGUUCGGAUUGGAGUCUGCAAUUCGACUCCAUGAAGUUGGAUUCGCUAGUAAUGGCGUAUCAGCUACGGCGCCGUGAAUACGUUCCCGGGCCUUGUACACACCGCCCGUCACAUCAUGAAAGCUGUCUGCACCCGAAGUUGCUGAUCUAACCCGCAAGGGGAGAAAGAGCCGACGGUGUGACGGGUGAUUGUGAUGAAGUCGUAACAAGGUAGCCGUA
rnacentral:rRNA from 1 species